ACCAAGCACAGUACUUGACUUUUAGGAGGUGCUCAGUAAAUAUGGAGAAAAGCUGUGCUGUAUUCGGAGACAUGUUCCCCGAUAAUUACAGGGCAGAGCAAUAGAAAGGUGCAAAAUCUCUGUGCGCACUUGGCUCUGAAGCACCAAGCGGCUUACCCUCUGGUUGGAGGGGACAGCAGCAGACUUCCCAGAGGAAAGAUGUUUAGGGGACGAGAGAUUGUUAAAAUGGCCGAGAACUUUCAGCAGGUAGAAUGGCACUUCGGAGAGAAAAGUUAAAUAAUGUGCUGAAGGUCUCGAACCCAGGCAGUGGCAGAGCCAGGCGGUGGAUCCGGAUGGCCUGGCUCCAGAGCCUGUGAGCCUACCCACAGUGACAGAGCUCCCUGGGAGCACCGCCCCCUCCUCCAGCUGGCUGCCUUCUCACCCACUGAAGAUCCUAAUCAAGGCUUUGUAAAUUUAGUCCGGAUCUGAGCCUUUUGAAGGCCCCAAACCCCUCCUGGCCUCCCCAUCCUUUAUCUCCUUAACUUUCAGUCUCUUACAAAAUCCUUUUUACUAGGGUUAAUGAUC